AAUUCCCUGCCGUGCACGUUGGAUGUGUGAUAAUUGGUGAACUAAUACCAAUUGAAAGGGAGCUUAACUCUCUUGGGGCUUAGGCUCUAAGGGGAGAGCACCCACUUGAAAUGAGACCGGUUCACAACCGUCCACACCAACGGCACAUGCGGGGAUUUU
rnacentral:other from 1 species